rnacentral:tRNA from 1 species
GUCUUUGUAGCUUAUUAACUAAAGCAUGGCGCUGAAGAUGCCAAGAUGACUGCUCUACGCAUCCGAAGACA